UUUUGGCUUAAUAUUCACAGCCGGCCUGACGUUAACGCUACUUAGGAAGUCAUAAACAUAUGUGAUUAUUUGUAGCAAAUAAUUUGUUGCAAUGUUAUGGAAUAAAAUCGUUCUACCCACAACUAACCACGUUUUUUUUGAAGCAAUGUAGUUUGAGACACUUCGUACACGGCAAUCUUACGUUAUACGCAUUCGAAACGCACGUGAGCACAAUUUUGUGGCAAAGUUUAAUAACAGGCCUUGGGAGCUAAUAAAAUAUUUAUUGUUCUUAUAGUAGUGGAGAUAUCGCAAACUGGCGACAGUUCGGCGCCUCUACGAAGAUUAUGUUAUAGGCAUAUAACUGAUUGAAGAUUACGUAUUACUUUUUGGGUAGUUGAAAAAACUAUGGAGCAAGUGACAAGUAACAACGUGAGCCGGGCUCCUGGAGACAUUCGACCUCCAAGUAGUGGCCCUAACGGUCAAGAGUCAACGUUCCCGACGCAAGCGCCCGUCCGCCCGCCGCUCACCAGAGUUGAUUCCCGUUCGGCGCUUAUACCACCAGCUAGACCUGGAGCACCUCAACAGUUCCAGCAGCGGCCGCUGUUCCAACCAGGUGGACCAGUAACGAAUUCACCUCAGUUUGCGCCUCGUUCGGGGACUCCAAUUACUCGAGGGCCAACUCCGUCCGCUACGCCAGGGUCUCCGCAAAUUCGAGCGCAGGCACCACAAGCACGUCCUUCAGGACCUCAGUCGAUUCAAGGUCAAAGACCCCAGCAGUCUCCUACGACUGCUCAGCCUCCACCGGUUCAAAGAGCUCCUGCACCGAACAACCUUCAGUUCGGUCCAAGGCAGCCGCCGCAAUUUGGGGGCGCUACUACUCCUGACGGUUCCAAAGCUCAGGCACCGCCUCAAUUUAACGGAACAUUAAAGAGCGGCGCUCUAGCACCGUCUCAAUUAACAGGACAACUACCUAGACAACCGUCACAAGGCUCUUUAAAAGGCCUUGAUUUAUCCAAUACAAAUCAAAGUAAAACAGCAAACCUGGAAGCCCAAAAUUCGAACAAUGACAACCAAAAUGCUAAUAAGUCCGAGAUUAACUCGGAAGCACCGGCAAUGGCUAAAGGCAGGAGUUACAGUAUCGCCGCCGCUCCCGGCACGCCAAGCCCACUAAAGAUGGAUGAAGACCGACGAAAAUCCAUAAGUGCUGUAGGGAGUAAGAUGGAAGAGUUUACAAGUCGUAGCCCAGGUCUUGGAUUAAUUCAAGAAUCCAAAGACAGUAGAGACAACAUACGUGGUUCUAAAGAUAGUGUAAGGUCGAUGGCUUCGAAUGAUGGCAGUAAGGACAAUGUUGACCGUCCAGAGUCACGCAUAACAGGCUCUAGAAUGACCGAAUCUAUAAUGGGAUCUUUGACCAACUUAGCACCCAAAAAGAAAAUAGACGAUGACGAUGACGUCGUACUGCAAAAUAAUGUGCAGACAUUGAAGAACGACGUUACUUCAAAUCAGAAUAAAGUAGAUAUGUCGGAUCGUUCACCGUCUCUGACUAGAAGUGAUGAUUCACCGGAACCUAAAAACGCUUCGCAAAGUUCAGUCAUAACGAACAAGUCACAGAGUGCUACACCAGAACCUCAAAGACCUAAGACACCCAAAGAUUUAAAACCGGAACCAAAAGUUGAUGCAUCACGAAAUGUGAAACCUUCUAUUACACCAGUUAAAACUCCCUCAAAAUCACCUGUUCAAGAAAUGAAAACUAUGCCAAUAAAUAAAAAACCAACUGAAUUAAUUACUCCCACUGAUUCCAAAAGAUCUACUCCCAGAAAAGUUGUUUCAGCGCCUAAAUCACGCCCUAAAGAUGGCGAUAAUGACAGUGGUGUCGACGAGUCGACUCAAGGAAAUGAUAUGAACGGAUCGCCUGGGUCGCCAAAUAAGAAGUUGCCGAGCAAGGUCCCUACUAAGGAAAAGUCGAGUAACAGCUUGAAGACCAGCCUAUCGCGAUCUUCCAGCAAGAGCGCAACAGCUAAGACACCAGAAAAUCCUCCACCGUCUGAAAAGAAGAAAGUACCAAUGAACAAGAUUCAAGUGGGAAACGCGCCGUCUCCUAAUAUAAAGGCUGUUAAGUCCAAGAUCGGGUCAUUGGAUAACGCUACAUAUAAACCCGGCGGUGGAAAGGUUAAAAUAGAGAACAGAAAACUGGAAUUCAACGCUACGCCGAAAAUUGCUGCGAAAAAUGAUGCGUACACGCCAAGCGGUGGAACUAAAAAGAUAAUAACUACGAAAUUGGAAUGGAACGCGAAGUCCAAAAUAGGAUCACUGCAGAACACUGCUUACAAGCCAGGAGGUGGUGACAAGAAGAUUGAAACUGUUAAGUUGGAUUUUAAGGAUAAAGCGAAGCCGAAAGUUGGAUCCACAGCUAACAUAACUCAUAAGCCCGGCGGUGGAACAGUAAAGAUUGAGAAUCAAAAAUUGGAUUUCAAAGUGGAAAGCAAGGUUGGCUCGCUCGACAACGUAAAGCAUAAGCCAGGCGGAGGUGAUGUUAAGAUAUUUGACGACAAAGACUACAUCAAGCAGGUGGUCGGCCAGUCGCCGCUGCCCCCCAGCCAUGGCCAGUCGCGGCAGGAGAGUCCGGUUCCACCGUCAGCACCUCCGAAAUCCGAUGAGAAUUUGAAUCAACAGCCGUGUUAAGCCGACCCAUCCAAUAUCAACACUAACGUUAUAUAUUAAAAUUAAUUUGUCCAUUAAUUUUAUCAUAAUAUUACUUUUGACAAGUCUUUGAUUAAUAUUUUCAGGAUUUAAAGGACAUUAUGAAUAUUUAAGAAUUUAAGUCAUUAAAGUAGUUUCCUUUGAUCAAAGUUUAGUAUCUUAGCAAAACUAUUAGCAGAACAACUUUGCCUUUACCUUUUUUUUGUUUUACAUAGUAUCAGUUGUGCCAAUACGAUUAGGACAUACAACAUAAAAUAAUCAUAUGUAUUAAAUUUAAAAACGACCGUUUAUCCACGAUUAGAUAUAGUUGAAUAGUAAUUUAUAAGUAUUUAAAAUCCGCUACAUAUUCAGUUUUAACUGUACAGUCCGACUGCACAAUUAAAACUGAAGGUAUGUACCAUGUUUCAAUUGUUGCCGCGUAACCAUUAUAAUUAUAACGCUGAUGUGUUGAGAAUCUUCAAGGUACAAAUUUCUUUGCUAUCUCAUAAUGGUUACGAGGCAAUACCACGUAUAUAUUAUGCACAUACAUAGAUCACAUUGUCACACUGUCAGUCCUCACUGCGUAUUGUUGAAUUAGCAAGCAGUGUUUUACCAGGCGUAUAAAUGCGGUAGCCAUUGAAGCUUCGUUAUAAAUGUAUUUUGUUCUUUAAUGUAUUAUGUAGACUGCACGAACAACGUUUAGGAUGGAAAUGGAGUGAUGUUUGUAUUGGCCAGUGUUCUCGACCCAGCAUAUAUUUGAAGUGGAACAAUAUAUAGCAUUUUUUAAACUGAUAACAACUUUUAUAAUCAAUUAGCUUUUGCACGUUUAAUUUCGCUGUGUCGGGGGCGACGUCGGCUCAGAUUGGACUGACCAGUUUAUUAGAUUGAUAAAUGUUUUAUAUUUAAAUAAUUUUAAGAUGGAUUUAGAUUUAGGAAUAAUUAAAACGUUAAUGCUUCUUGUUCACAAUAUUAUUUGCGAUUGUCAACAUUAUUGUGAAGUAGUGAUGCGUUCGUUGCAAUUAAAGAUAAAAAAUGAUUAAUAUUAAGUGAAUUUGUUAUGACACGUUCUUUUGUUUCUAAUAACAGCAAUAUUAAUUUUUUGUACGACAAUGAAAUUGAUAACUUUUUUUGUUGUUUUAUAUGAUAUUAUUACAGGACGCUUUGCUAUACUUUUAAAUGGAGUUCAUCGUAAUGUGAACGUAAGCUGUAAUGGUAUACUUUAAUAUUUAAUACAAUGUAAUGUAAUAAUUAUUGUUUCAUUUACACUAAAAUGUUUCACCCUUGAAUAAAUGUAUACAAGUAGUUAUGCUGUAGCCACACAUUGCACGCACCUGCGUAGUCGAUGGAAAAACAUUGCAAAUUGGAGGAGUACAUAUCGCUGAGUGAAUGGUCAGAGGAGCGGCCAUUAUCCCGUAGUCGGUCAGCUCGUGCACCGCGCACCCCCCGCACGCCCCGUGCGCUCUCCCCGCGCAAGCCCGCGCCCGGUGAACGCGCGCUUCGCUACGGCUACGAGCGCGAGAGACGCGCGUCAACCCGCCCCGCAACCGCACGUGAUCCCCCGCGCUCCUCGUGCUCCAGACGAAACUCACUCACACCGCGUCCUGCUUUCUCUGUGUAUUAAUUAAAAAAUUGUUAAUGAUGUCUUCGUACAAUACUAUUCAAACUUUAAGGCGGCUUGUAGUUAGGUGGGAGUCUUCGCAUGUAGUGCUCACAUACCUAAAAUUAUACUGUGCGCUGCGACUCUUACAAGAAUGCGUGCCGCCAUAAUAUUUGGAUAGCACUAUACUCAUUGUAAUGGAUUCGAGCAUUGUUUGUUAUUCUUUUUAUUCAAUUCAUAUUUUGUUUAUAUUUCAUUUAAGCAUA